rnacentral:rRNA from 1 species
CCUACGGGAGGCAGCAGUGGGGAAUAUUGCACAAUGGGGGAAACCCUGAUGCAGCGACGCCGCGUGAGUGAAGAAGUAUUUCGGUACGUAAAGCUCUAUCAGCAGGGAAGAAAAUGACGGUAUCUGACUAAGAAGCCCCGGCUAACUACGUGCCAGCAGCCGCGGUAAUACGUAGGGGGCAAGCGUUAUCCGGAUUUACUGGGUGUAAAGAGAGCGUAGACGGCAGCGCAAGUCUGGAGUGAAAUCCCAUGGCUUAACCAUGGAACUGCAUUGGAAACUGUGCAGCUAGAGUGCAGGAGAGGUAAGCGGAAUUCCUAGUGUAGCGGUGAAAUGCGUAGAUAUUAGGAGGAACACCAGUGGCGAAGGCGGCUUACUGGACUGUAACUGACGUUGAGGCUCGAAAGCGUGGGGAGCAAACAGGAUUAGAUACCCCAGUAGUC